rnacentral:rRNA from 1 species
GACGAACGCUGGCGGCGUGCUUAACACAUGCAAGUCGAGCGAUGAAGCACCUUCGGGUGUGGAUUAGCGGCGAACGGGUGAGGAACACGUGAGGAAUCUGCCUUCCACUCUGGGAUAACUCCGGGAAACCGGGGCUAAUACCGGAUACUUUCAACUGGCGGCAUCGCCGGUUGAAGAAAGUUUUUCGGUGGAAGAUGACCUCGCGGCCUAUCAGCUUGUUGGUGAGGUAAUGGCUUACCAAGGCGACGACGGGUAGCCGGCCUGAGAGGGCGACCGGCCACACUGGGACUGAGACACGGCCCAGACUCCUACGGGAGGCAGCAGUGGGGAAUAUUGGGCAAUGGAGGAAACUCUGACCCAGCGACGCCGCGUGAGGGAUGAAGGCCUUCGGGUUGUAAACCUCUUUCAGCAGGGAAUAAGCGAAAGUGAAGGUACCUGCAGAAGAAGCACCGGCUAACUAUGUGCCAGCCGCCGCAGUAACAC